rnacentral:rRNA from 1 species
CCUACGGGUGGCAGCAGUGGGGAAUUUUGGACAAUGGGGGCAACCCUGAUCCAGCCAUUCCGCGUGAGUGAAGAAGGCCUUCGGGUUGUAAAGCUCUUUCGCAAGGGAAGAAAACUUACUCAAUAACACUGGGUGAUGCUGACGGUACCUUGAUAAGAAGCACCGGCUAACUACGUGCCAGCAGCCGCGGUAAUACGUAGGGUGCGAGCGUUAAUCGGAAUUACUGGGGGUAAAGCUUUCGCAGACGGUUGAAAUCCCCGGGCUCAACCUGGGAACUGCGUUUGAAACUGCAAGGCUAGAGUAUGGCAGAGGGGGGUAGAAUUCCGCGUGUAGCAGUGAAAUGCGUAGAGAUGUGGAGGAAUACCAAUGGCGAAGGCAGCCCCCUGGGUCAAUACUGACGCUCAUGCACGAAAGCGUGGGGAGCAAACAGGAUUAGAUACCCGUGUAGUC